CCCUUGUACACACCGCCCGUCACACCAUGGGAGUGGGUUGUACCAGAAGUAGGUAGAAUAACCGCAAGGGGUUCGCUUACCACGGUAUGAUUCAUGACUGGGGUG
rnacentral:rRNA from 1 species